CUGAAGAGUCGUUCAAGACCAGGACGUUGAUAGGUCAGGUGUGGAAGCGCAGUAAUGCGUUAAGCUAACUGAUACUAAUUGCUCGUGCGGCUUGACCCUAUAACUUUG
rnacentral:rRNA from 1 species